AUUGAACGCUGGCGGCAUGCCUUACACAUGCAAGUCGAACGGCAGCACGGGUGCUUGCACCUGGUGGCGAGUGGCGAACGGGUGAGUAAUACAUCGGAACAUGUCCUGUAGUGGGGGAUAGCCCGGCGAAAGCCGGAUUAAUACCGCAUACGAUCUACGGAUGAAAGCGGGGGACCUUCGGGCCUCGCGCUAUAGGGUUGGCAGAUGGCUGAUUAGCUAGUUGGUGGGGUAAAGGCCUACCAAGGCGACGAUCAGUAGCUGGUCUGAGAGGACGACCAGCCACACUGGGACUGAGACACGGCCCAGACUCCUACGGGAGGCAGCAGUGGGGAAUUUUGGACAAUGGGCGAAAGCCUGAUCCAGCAAUGCCGCGUGUGUGAAGAAGGCCUUCGGGUUGUAAAGCACUUUUGUCCGGAAAGAAAUCCUUGGCCCUAAUACGGUCGGGGGAUGACGGUACCGGAAGAAUAAGCACCGGCUAACUACGUG
rnacentral:rRNA from 1 species